rnacentral:rRNA from 1 species
CCAGACUCCUACGGGAGGCAGCAGUGAGGAAUAUUGGUCAAUGGGCGCGAGCCUGAACCAGCCAAGUCGCGUGAGGGAUGACGGUCCUACGGAUUGUAAACCUCUUUUGCCGGGGAGCAAGCGUGCGUUCGUGAACGCGCGUCGAGAGUACCCGGAGAAAAAGCAUCGGCUAACUCCGUGCCAGCAGCCGCGGUAAUACGGAGGAUGCGAGCGUUAUCCGGAUUUAUUGGGUUUAAAGGGUGCGCAGGCGGCCUGGAAAGGCGGCGGUCACAGCGCGGGGCUCAACCCCGCCCCGCCGUUGAAACUGGCAGUCUCGAGUUGGAGAGAAGUAUGCGGAAUGCGCGGUGUAGCGGUGAAAUGCAUAGAUAUCGCGCAGAACUCCGAUUGCGAAGGCAGCAUGCCGGCUCCACACUGACGCUGAGGCACGAAAGCGUGGGUAUCGAACAGGAUUAGAUACCCCUGUA